CAGAGGAAGGCUUUCUUGUCCUGGCUUGACAGUUCUUCAAACACUUCCCAGAAAAAGACAAUCGUUUGGUGUUUUGCAUGAAAUCCGUAUUCAUAAGUUGCAUUCUGUUCAUCGUAAAGAAACACAGAUGAAGGAGAUAAAAUGUAGGUGUGUUCACCUGUCUGAAUGUGUCCCAGUCGUAUUCCUCUGAGCCCAGCAUCACUCCUCUGAGCUCUUCUGGAUGGAAGAUGUCCACCAUGUGUCUGUCACACACUUUGUAGAAUCCCUUCUUAAAUUCAUUAAACACCCGCUCCACGGACUUGUUCAGCACGUAAUCCACAUACGCGUCCACGAACACGUUUCUGUCGAAGGAAUAAAAGUCGUUAACGUUAA